CACGUAGGGGGCAAGCGUUGUCCGGAUUUAUUGGGCGUAAAGAGCUCGUAGGCGGCUUAGUAAGUCGGGUGUGAAACCUCCAGGCUCAACCUGGAGACGCCACCCGAUACUGCUGUGGCUAGAGUCCGGUAGGGGAGCGUGGAAUUCCUGGUGUAGCGGUGAAAUGCGCAGAUAUCAGGAGGAACACCGGUGGCGAAGGCGGGUCUCUGGGCCGAUACUGACGCUGGAGGAGCGAAAGCGUGGGGAGCAAACAGG
rnacentral:rRNA from 1 species